ACUGCUGAGUCCUUCCAGAUCAGUGCCAAUGUAGGAACAGACUUUUUAGAAUCUGUUACUCAGGAAGAGCCUGUCUCUGAGAACUGUUGUGUCUGUCAGUGGAGUGUCUGUCACUGGAGUGUCUGUAUCACUGGAGUGUCUGUCACUGGAGUGUCUGUCACUGGAGUGUCUGUCACUGGAGUGUCUGUCACUGUAGUGUCUGUCACUGUUGUGUCUGUCACUGGAGUGUCUAUAUCACUGGAGUGUCUGUAUCACUGGAGUGUCUGUCACUGGAGUAUCUGUGUCACUGGAGUGUCUGUCACUGGAGUGUCUGUCACUGGAGUGUCUGUCACUGGAGGGGCUGUCACUGGAGGGGCUGUCACUGGAGUGUCUGUCACUGGAGUGGCUGUCACUGGAGUGGCUGUCACCGGAGUGGCUGUCACCGGAGUGUCUGUCCCUGUAGUGUCUGUCACCAGAGUGUCUGUCACCAGAGUGGCUGUCACCGGAGGGGCUGUCACUGGAGUGUCUGUCACUGGAGUGUCUGUCACUGGAGUGUCUGUCACUGGAGUGUCUGUCACUGGAGUGGCUGUCACUGGAGGGUCUGUCCCUGGAGUGUCUGUCACCAGAGUGGCUGUCACCGGAGUGGCUGUCACUGGAGUGUCUGUCACUGGAGUGUUUGUCACUGGAGUGUCUGUCACUGGAGUGUCUGUCACUGUUGUGUCUGUCACUGGAGUGUCUGUAUCACUGGAGUGUCUGUCACUGGAGUGUCUGUCACUGGAGUGUCUGUCACUGGAGUGUCUGUCACUGGAGUGGCUGUCACUGGAGUGGCUGUCACCGGAGUGUCUGUCACCGGAGUGUCUGUCACCAGAGUGUCUGUCACCGGAGUGUCUGUCACCGGAGGGGCUGUCACCGGAGUGUCUGUCACUGGAGUGUCUGUCACUGGAGUGUCUGUCCCUGGAGUGUCUGUCACCGGAGUGUCUGUCACUGGAGUGUCUGUCCCUGGAGUGUCUGUCACCAGAGUGUCUGUCACCGGAGUGUCUGUCACCGGAGGGGCUGUCACCGGAGUGUCUGUCACUGGAGUGUCUGUCACUGGAGUGUCUGUCCCUGGAGUGUCUGUCACCGGAGUGUCUGUCACUGGAGUGUCUGUCCCUGGAGUGUCUGUCACCAGAGUGUCUGUCCCUGGAGUGUCUGUCCCUGGAGUGUCUGUCCCCGGAGUGGCCGUCACUGGAGUGGCCGUCACUGGAGUGGCCGUCACUGGAGUGUCUGUCACUGGAGUGUCUGUCACUGGAGUGGCUGUCACUGGAGUGUCUGUCACCGGAGUGUCUGUCACUGAAGGUUGUCUGUCCCUGGAGUGGCUGUCGCCGGAGUGUCUGUCACCGGAGUGUCUGUCACCGGAGUGUCUGUCACCGGAGUGUCUGUCACUGGAGUGUCUGUCACUGGAGUGGCUUUUCUAUAAGUGUUUACAAACCAACUGUCUUCAGUUUUAUGGUAGCGAGUGAUCCCUGGCUUACCAUUAACAGCCUUGAUGACACAGAUCUUGGGGGAAGUGUAUGGGAUGACACUGGACUCUCUAGCUCAGUGUUUAUUAAUCCUGGUCCCGGGGACCCAAAAGGGUGCACAUUUUUUUUUUUUUUACCCUCGCACCACUACACACCUGAUUCCACUAAUCAAUUCAUCAUCAAACCUUUAGUGGAAUCAGGUGUGUAG
rnacentral:lncRNA from 1 species